ACGCCAUUACAUAGCUCUCGGUAAUCAUGUAGGAAAGGGGGACGGAGCUUGCUACAGCACAGACUCUCAUUGGAUUUCGAAGCCUAUAGACAGGACAUGGAAGCUCCUAUUGGUUCAAAUGAGGUGUCAUUGGAUAGGUCUCAGCCCGGGGGCUGCUUGAGUGCUGGCGUUUAGGUUCUGUUUCAGUAUUCAUAAAGGCCGAGCAUGCUAAAAAGCAGUGCUUAUAAAUCUAAAAGUCCUUGAAGUUUCAAUGGUGUGGCUCAUUGGGAUGCAAUCCUGUGGGAAGCAACUACAAGGCGGGUGGAAUGCAGCCACUUAAAAAAGUUCUACCACCAGCAUUUCUUUUGUCACAACAGAUUGCUUCCCAAGUAAAAUAAA